rnacentral:rRNA from 1 species
ACGUAGGCAGCGAGCGUUGUUCGGAAUUACUGGGCGUAAAGAGUGUGUAGGCGGUGCUCUAAGUUUGGUGUGAAAUCUCCCGGCUCAACCGGGAGGCUGCAUCGAAUACUGGAAUGCUAGAGGGUGGGAGAGGUAAGCGGAAUUCCUGGUGUAGCGGUGAAAUGCGUAGAUAUCAGGAGGAACACCUGUGGUGUAGACAGCUUACUGGACCACUUCUGACGCUGAGACACGAAAGCGUGGGUAGCAAACAGGAUUAGAUACCCUGGUAGUCCACGCCCUAAACGAUGCAUACUUGGUGUGGGCCAUUCAUUUGGUCUGUGCCGGAGCUAACGCGUUAAGUAUGCCGCCUGGGGAGUACGGUCGCAAGGCUG